rnacentral:lncRNA from 1 species
CCAGGUUUCUGUUGUCCUUUAUUGCCUAUCUGGGUGUAGGCUGUAAACUUUUACAAUGGGGAGAGAAGGGAUCACACCCUCUCAGCCCCCAUAGUUCUAGAAACAAAGGUAGGACGACUGAGACACCUGACUUGCUUCCAAGCCUACAAUUGAGGACCUAGGACAACUGACAAAAAGCUGACAAAGAAAGAUAAGAAUUUUUACCAAGUUUAGCUCUCCUGGAUCUCUACCUGGAGUACCUGAUGGAGAAUGGAAGACUCACUGAAAUUGAAAAUGCCUUUUUCCUAAGACCCUACAAACUGAAUCAGUCAACUUGGCUUUGAAGAAACAUCACCACAAGAGCCUAUAUUUGGAAAAACUUUGUACAUGCAAAGCGCAAAGCAAAAAAAAAUCUGUAAAAUUGCCGUUUGUAAUUUCAACUGACUGUUCUCCAGAGACUCUACAGAAACUCCAGAGAUUAGCCAUUAUUUUUUGCAUAAGUCAUAAGAAUCCACUCUAAUAAGAAAUAUUCCUUAUUAAAGAUUUGUUCACUUGCAUCAUAUAUAGAGGCCUAACUUUGACAGCCAGUCUUCAGCACCAUCUCCUGAAAUGAGACAUAACUGUAUAAUUGGACAGACAUAUUUCCAGAAAUGGGAGACUGUGUUAAUGAGAUUCUUUGCUACUCAGCUACUAAUUUUUCUCUCUACAGCUAACUCAGCUUUUCGUGUAUGAGACUUCUAGGGAAAUUUCAUACAAGAUAAUGUUGGAGCUCAGAAAAUGAUACCCCAAGGACUGGUAGUUUGACAUGUUGAGAGGCCUUUGAAGCUGCCUCAGAAUCGAGGACCCUUUGUCCUUUGCUUGGCCUCAUUCCUCGAUCCCAGCCCCAAGUGGAGGGAGGGAUUCUCUGGGAUUUCUUUAUCUAAGAAAGCUUAUUUUGGGGAAAAAAAUGCAAUUAUCUUGGGACCUUCUCUCUAGGGAACUCAUCAAAUAAUUGGAAAAGAUCAACUACCAGAGAAGAGAAGAGACUAGUAGUCACCACAGCACUCAGGUAAAAUAUUCUUGCAUUCUUUGAGGGUAGAUCCAAGAGAGUACCUAAGAAACUCUAUCUUCAUAGCAAGAUGACCACUGUUCCUUGGAACCAUUGUCUCAGCACUGGGCUUAUUCAUUCAUCCCAUUUUCCCCUCCCUUAUGAAGAAGGUGUUUAAGCCUCAACCAUCUGAUUCCUCUUUUAGUUCAUAUUUUGUAUGAUACUUGUACACACAUGUGCACAUAGUAGUAAUUAUUUCCUUCAUUAGAACGUUCAUAACUUUUGUAGGUUUGUCAGUCUUUGUAGGGUAAGCCUCAACCAAACCUGUAAAUUUAUCAACAAAAACCAACAAAUAGCAAAAUUUUCCAGGGUUCUGAGGCAUUAUAGUAAAAUCCAAUUGCCAGUCUUCUCUAGGAUAUGUUCCUUUCCACUGAGUUUCUUGCCUAAAGGUGGCUUUUAUGCCUUCUGGAGGCUUUGGAUUAUUUUUCAGGCAAGUAGAACAACGUUGAACU